UCAGGAUGUAGUUCAGUGGUAGAGCACUUGCCUGGCAUGUGUGAGGACCUGGGUUGGAUCCCCAGCACUGCA
rnacentral:tRNA from 1 species